rnacentral:rRNA from 1 species
CGUAGGUAACCUGCCUCUUAGCGGGGGAUAACUAUUGGAAACGAUAGCUAAUACCGCGUAAAAGUCGACAUUGCAUGAUGUUGACUUGAAAGGUGCAAAUGCAUCACUAAGAGAUGGACCUGCGUUGUAUUAGCUAGUUGGUGAGGUAACGGCUCACCAAGGCGACGAUACAUAGCCGACCUGAGAGGGUGAUCGGCCACACUGGGACUGAGACACGGCCCAG